AGCAGUCGCGGUAAUUCCAGCUCCAAUAGCGUAUAUUAAAGUUGUUGCAGUUAAAAAGCUCGUAGUUGAAUUUCGGGAUUGGCGCAUCGGUCGUGCCUCACGGGGUAUGAACUGGUGCAGUCAAUUUCUCACCUUCUGGAGAACCGCGAUGUCCUUAAUUGGAUGCCGCGGGGAACCAGGACCUUUACUUUGAAAAAAUUAGAGUGUUUAAAGCAGGCAUUUUUGCUUGAAUACAUUAGCAUGGAAUAAUAAAAUAGGACGGCAUGGUUCUAUUUUGUUGGUUUCUAGGACCACCGUAAUGAUUAAUAGGGAUAGUUGGGGGCAUUAGUAUUCAAUUGUCAGAGGUGAAAUUCUUGGAUUUAUUGAAGUACUAACUACUGCGAAAGCAUUUGCCAAGGUAUUUUC
rnacentral:rRNA from 1 species